UACAGAGGUCUCAAGCGUUGUUCGGAUUCAUUGGGCGUAAAGGGUGCGUAGGCGGCGCGGUAAGUCGGGUGUGAAAUCUUGGAGCUUAACUCCGAAACUGCAUUCGAUACUGCCGUGCUUGAGGACUGGAGAGGAUACUGGAAUUUACGGUGUAGCGGUGAAAUGCGUAGAUAUCGUAAGGAAGACCAGUGGCGAAGGCGGGUCUCUGGACAGUUCCUGACGCUGAAGCACGAAGGCCAGGGGAGCAAACGGG
rnacentral:rRNA from 1 species